GAGGCUGGAAUGAAGGAACAUACGAGAGUAAAACUGUUUCAUUUUUACCUAAUGAAAACUAACCUCUAGAUGAAGAGAUCUAGAUAACUAAGAAAGACAAAAAGACCCUAUUGAGCUUUACCCUACCAGAAUUCCCCCAAAGUGAAUCUAUUUAAUAAAUUCUGAGCGGGUUUUGUUGGGGCGACAGAAGAAGAACUAAAUCUUCUUUAUUUAAUGAGGUAAUAAACCUAAUAAUGAUCCGGAACCCCCGAUUAAAAG
rnacentral:rRNA from 1 species